GUGUGUGUGUGUUCUGGUAAUCAUCACGCGAUGGGGACCGUUGACUGUUUACACAGUCACGUCAUGGGGACCGGUUGCGCUUUGGGGACCAAAAUCCCGGUCCCCAUGAGGAUAACCCUUUUAAAUGACUACUAGAGCUACUCUGAAGGUGCCCGUGAAGUUUUAAGCAUUGGCCCAUACGACAUGUUUUUUGGUGAGUGUGAGUGUGUGAGCAUUGCUCAUUGGUGGCCCUACUGUUUCUAGUUAGUACUGCACCCACUGCUUCACACACACACAUCUUCCAAAUAUGGUUGGGUGCCACCCACUUCCUUGUCCCCAUUAGGAAUGAUUCAAGCAGCGAGGACAUUUUCAGCAUCAAGAGGUAGCUAUCAACAGUAAAAGAAGAUUAUUUGCUGGAGAAACUAGCUAAGAAGAUAAGAACAUGUGCAGAGGAGCAAAAGUAAAGCAUAAGAAAUGCCACCACGGAUCAGCAAUUCAACAUGAUACACAUCUGCAAAUUAGAGGUCCAGUAUAUUUAUGCAGCAAAAGUAUUGAUGCCUUCAGAGAAGAUGGCUCAAUUGGGUGACAAGUUAAUGAUGAACACAGACGUCCUUACUCCAAAAUGAAAAAAAUUGGUGUUAAUGGAGAACCCCACCUUUGUUUAUUUGCCCUGGAUGACAUCAAAGAAGGAGAAGAAAUCGCCUAUAACUAUAGAGGUGAAGACUGCCCAUGGCAAACACAGACGACCAGCAUCACUGUUAACACCAUGGAGGAGGAUGAUUCAGAUCCUGUCCACUCAGAGAGUCUGAUGGCUUGUGCCUUUGGGCCAAAGACACCACCUGAAGAGGUACAACUGCCCAAAAGAAGAAAACACCCUGGAAGGAGACAGACGUGAAGGCAGUGGAAAGGCACAUGAAUCGAUUCAUCACAUCUUGUAUUGCUCCAGCAAAGUUUGACUGUGAGAAGUGUUUAAGGGCUGAUCCAGAAGCUCUUAAGGACCGGAGCUGGCAGAAUGUGAAAUUCUACAUAUAUAACCGCAUUACAGCCAACAAGAGGAAAUUAAGUAAAUAAUGGGAAGAUUACCACCAGUAAGCGGUUGCUAUGUGGUUGUCUGAAAUUAAAAAUAUCUUACAAAUUUGA